GGUCUGGUGGCACAACCGGUAGUGUGCCAUCACAGAGUACACUAUUCCGCACUCUUCACAACGGAGGUCCCCGUUCGAUCCGAGGUCAGGCCC